CCUUACGUAAACGUAUAUCAAAGUCCAGAAACAGGCCAAGUCAAAACCAAUCGGAAACAAGGUACGGAAUCGGUAAGAAGUAGAGUAGUCGAGGUCACAGGCCGGGUCAGUAACAGUCUUGGGCGAAGUACAAAAUCGGGAUCCAGAAAGCGUAGUCAGAGGAAAGCCAAAGGGUCAGGGCAGGCAGAGAUCAAUUACAGGAGU